rnacentral:lncRNA from 1 species
UUUGUAGUACUUUUCAAAACACAGGAUUUAAUAUAAAUGUCUCUUAGCUCGCCUAUUUCAACAUGGUAUUUAGAGUCUGCCAAGAGGCAAUUCUUUUUUCGUUGUGCUUUACCCUGUUGACCCACUGUCUUCCGUGAGAACAAAAAUUACAAACCGUGUUAUCACUCCGAUUUGCCUGUCACUUUUAAAAUUCUCAGGUAACCACUAUGUUGUCGUUACUAUUCUG